UGUAUUAAAAAUUUUUCAGAAGGUUCUUCAGGAUACCAGAAACCAUGUAUGAGCUGGUUUGAGUUGUGGCCACCCCACUGUCCCCACCAAUGGGGGCAAAGGAUGGGAAGUAGAGGGAGAGGUUUCUCUUCACAAACCAGAUUUUUUCAGAAUUCUGAGCAUGGGUGCAUUUCUAACAUUAAGCUCGUUAAGCUACGUACAAUUGAAAUGUUAACUGACUAAAUUAAUGUAGCUAUUACUGAGACCAGAGUUUAUAUGGUAUGACCCCUUUAACUGCAAGGAAUAAGUUCCAAGAUCCCUCUGGAUGCCUGAAACUGAAUAGUACUGAACCCUGUAUGUACUGGUUUUUUCUAUACAUACAUAUCUGUGAUAAAGUUUAAUUUAUAAAUUAGGUGAAGAAAUUAACGACAGCAAUAAUAGAAUUGGACAAUUAAUAUACUGCAAUAAAAGUUACGUGAAUGUCUCUCAAAAUAACUUGUACUCAUCCUUGUGAUGAUGUGAGGUGGUAAAAUGCCUACAUGAUGAGAUAAAUGAGGUGAAUGACAAAGGCAUUGUUAUGUAGCCUUAGGCUACUGUUGACCUCAGGAUACUUUAAAAGGCAGAUCAUCUGCUUCCAAAUCCUAGUUGACUGGAUAACCAACAUGAAAAGCAAAAUUGCAGGUGAGUGGGGGGGGGGGGGGGCACUACUAUAUGGAUAUGUCCACUGGUGCCUUUAGGAAAACCCACAUGGGAAGCGAAAUCAUAAUCAUUGUGUAUGUAGCCUAACUCUCAAAAGGUUCAGAAAGAAUGCUACAUAUGUAGACAGAGAAAAUGAUAAAUUGUGGCAAAGUGUUAAAAAAUGAGAGUAAAAAGGAAGUCUUUAAACUAUUUUUGUAUUUCUGUAGGUUUAAAAUAAUUUCAAAACGUUAAUAAAAUUGCCUCUGUAGGCCUGCUAGGUUACCUGUAUGAGUGUGUUAGAGUUUUCAGCCACAUAUACUUGGCAAAAGGAAAAAAUGUCACAGGCGAACAUGCAGUAACUAUUAAAGCCACUUUGUGAGAAAGAACCAGUCACUAGAAGUAUUGUGGUCCCAUUUAUAAUCCUGGGCCUGUUGAGAUAAGGAUCUUAGUCUGAGAUACAUGGUUAACUGCUCUUGAUCCCAUGCUCAGAAGCAAGUGUGUGAGGGGUAUAAAAACAAAGGUGAGGUGUUUUUUAAGUUUAUUAUUUAUUUUGAGAGAGCAUGAGCAGGGGAGGGGCAGAGGGGGGAGAGAGAAUCCCGUUGCAGGGGUCAAACUGAUGAAACAAUGAGACCACCUGAGCCAAAACCCAAGAGUUGGACGCUUAACUGACCAAGCCACCCAGGGGCCCCAAGAGAGGUUUUUGUUUGUUUGUUUGUUUUGUAAUUUAGGAUAGAGGGAAGACAAGCUUUCUGAAAAGGAGACCCUGGAAUAGGAAAAAAAAGUAAAGGAGAGGUAACUGAUGGAGCAGAGUUCCUGAAUGGCAGAGCACAGCACAGGUAAGUGAAUUGGUAAUGGGUAGAAGCAGAGGCAAGUCUUACUGUGAAAUGACAGAAGGAGGUAACGCACAAAGAAAUACUCAUGAGCAAGAUGCACUGAGAUGAGGUUAUUAACACUUGUAAAGCCUCUCUCCAUGAAGUAGGAAGUAAUGCCAACUUCUGAGAAGUAUGGGUCGUGAGUAAGAUUGGACUUGAGAAGAGGAAUGAGAAAAUGCUGUUGUAUAGUAUGUGUUUGGUGAGUGAAUAAAUAGAUGGUUCAUGGUUGAAGUUCUGAAUGUGACUAGUAAAAGGGAGGCAAGGGAGUUGAGAUAUUGGUGAGUAUAGUUGAAUUGAUGCAUUCUGGCUUCUGGGCUGUGUAGGAAAGGUGAAGCUAGGUCACCAUUAUAUGUAAAGAACAGGGAGAUAACAAAGAAUUUGUUUUCCAGUGAGGUUCAAGUAGAUACAGUGGAGGAAGGAAUAAGACAAAAAGUAUUUUAGACAGUGCCUAAUGCUAGGGAUGUUUGGAAGUAACUAGAAUGGGUGGAGGUAGAGGUGAAGGUGAUUGGAACGGAGGGUGGUGAUCAGUGUGGCUGGAAGUAUCCUUUACAUGGAAGAUACUGUGGGUGAUGGCAGAAGGUCAAGGAUGGAGAAGGAAAUGGUAGUCGUGUCAUGGAUAUUAUAUCUUGUACUUUAAACUAUGCUUGAGUUCCACUAGAGCAGCUGGCAUGUGUACAAAGAAGAUAAUGAAAACUUGGUAAAUAGUUAUUUCCUCAUUCUGAGUUUUUAGUCAAUACCUGAGUCACUUAGGUAUUAGAAAACAUUAAGUGCGAAAGGGCCAUUUAAAAAAGUACAGUAAGAUUGGUUGUUAAAAUGUGAAAAUUAGGAAAUUCUCACUUUACCUGCACGUGGGGGAAUGGUAAAUCCAUUGGAUCUGUGCCUGAGAAAAGCAAGAGGCAAGGAAAAUGGAAGUUGAGUUAGGCCAAGGUCUGAGUCCAUAAAUUCAUCCCUGUAAAGCAUUAGAUGAUAUGCUUUUGUACAGACACAAGGGGGCAGAAUUAGAUCUCUAGUAUUUGUUUCUCUGCAUGACCAUCUGCACUUUAAAUAGGUAAACCAUUCUCAAGCACAAGGAUACCUCUUUGGACUUAUGUUUGUAAAAUUCAUUUAUUCACCAAAUGCUGAGUACAUAUGGUCUGAGUCUAUGCUAAAUGCUAGAGGUGUAACAAUGAAUAGGGUGGAACCAACAGAAAUGUUGAAGAAGGUGGGAAUGGAACGAUUAGAUUUGUUUUCAAACAACUAGCAGUAAUGUAGAAGAACGUUUGGAGUGGGAAAACCUCGAUGAAAGACUGCUUAAGGAGCUCUUUUCAAUAGCUCAAACCAGAAGUCAGAAGGGCCUUUAGAAAAACAACAGGGAUUCAGUGGAGAGGCUGGAUUCAAUCAAUUUCUGAGGUAGAUUAGACAAAAUUUGGGUACCAUGUACAUGAGGAUGGGCUGUAAGGAGAGGGAAAAGUCUGGUAUGAUGAGAUUUCCGCCCCCCUCCCCACCACCCCGUGUGAGAAUUAGGAGAUAGAGGAAUAGGGAUAGUUGGGGAAGACAAUGAGUUCAGUUUGAGACUGAGCAGCCUAGAGCUGCACUGUCCAAUAUAGUAGCUACUAGGCACAUGUGGGUAUUGAUCACUUGAAAUGUGGCUAGUAAAACUGAGGAACUGAAUUUUAAGUGGUGUUUAGUGAGGCUCAUGGCUGCCAUAUUGGCCAAUAUAGGUAGAGAACAUUUCCAUCAUCACAGAAAAUUCUUUUGGGACACCCUGGGGGACAUCUGGACAGAUGAAGAUUUCCAGUGGGUACCUGGAAAUAGGAGUGUGAAUCUUGGAGGAGAGAUGGGGACUAGGGAGGUGAUUUAGGAGUUACUGGGAAACUAGGGUGGGUGUACUAGAGAGGUUGUAGAAGUGGAUGAGUUCUCUCAGAGAGUAGAAAAACAAGAAAAGCAGGCAUAAGUGAAAAUUCUAGAGAAUACAACAUUAAGGAGGCUGGCAAAAGAAGAAAAGGUUUUCAAAAGAGACCAAGAAGUAUAUGUACCCGUAGUCCCAUAUACUUGUCUCUUCAAUUUUAUGUUGUAUAUCUUGUAUCAGAGGCAGUGCCCUGCAUGCAGUAGGGUAUAAACAGAAUUUCCAAGAGGUUAAUUUUAUUUUUAAGGUCUUGGGAGUUACCUUCAUGUGGUCAUUGAAUCAGGGAAUUCUGUUCUGGGUGGGGCAGAUUAGGCCACCUCCAAAGAUAUCUAAUACCAUUUUUAGAAUACAGGACUAGGAAGUAUAAUCUUUUGACCUUACUCUACCCAUCACCCUCCUUCUCUAUACUUCCCUUCAUGCUCAGCUAUGAUUUUCUGGAUUAUGUUUAAAUCAUUCCCUUACAAUAACCUCUUUCUAGCCCUUCUGUCUUCGUUCACUUAGUUUAGGGGUGAGCAACUUUUUCCUGUAAAGGGCCAGAUGUACUCUAUGUUGUAUAGUCUUUUUUUUUUUUUUUUUUUUUGUAACUCUUUGAAGAUGUUAAAACAAUUUUCAGUUUGUGGCCUCUUUAAAAACAAGUCACAUGCCAAAUCUGUCCUGCAAUAGUUUGCUAACCUGUUACCUAGCAAGACCUCCAUCUGGAUGAACCCAGCUCUUCGGUUGUGCCUACAUGCAUCCUCCUGAGUGUUUUUGAAGGAAAUUAGGAACUGCAGGUUGGUGUCACCAUAAGAACACAAUCCCAAGUGGACAAGUUUCUUUAGUGUUCUUGCUCAUUGGUAUAAUGGGUAUAGUUCACACCUUUUACUUUCUCAAACCUUCCACUUGUCUCUACCGCAGGCUUUCCAUAGUGGCUGGGCAGUUCUGACCAGUGCCAGGUUUAGGCAAACACAAACCCUAUCUGCUCACCAAAACAAUACCCCUCUAGCAUGUUAGUAGAGACAUUGCCCACCCAUGUGGUCUUGACUGGUUUGUUCGUCUGUCCUCAGCCAACUGGGUGGCCUGCUGAUCCAGGAUGGCCUCAUCUGGGAUUAUUGGACUCUGUGUAGUCAUCUUCCAGCACAUUAGCCUGAGCUUGUUUACCUGGUGGUCACAGGGGUCUGAGAGAGAGAGAAGUGUGGAGUCUCAAGACCUGGGCUCAGAAUUGACAUCAUCAUUUCCUCUUUUUUUUUUUUUUCUCCCUAUAGUAAGUCCUAAGACCAAACUGAUUGUAGGGGAAGGAAAAGAGACCAGUAUUGAUGGGAGGAGCUACAAAGUUACAUUGUAAGAGGUAUAAGUAUUGGGAAAAGUGAAGAAUUGUAACUUUUGCAUCCAACCUACCAUAGCAUCCAGGUUUGCUCCACUCAAUGGAGAAAGCCCUCUUCAUCUAGGCUUUUAGUCCUCACACUUAUGUGUGCAUCUGUAGCAUGUGGAAGGUUUGUUAAAACAUAUUGCUGGGGCCCACACCUUCAAAAUGUUUGGGAUGCCAAGAAUUUGCUUUUCUAACCGGUUUCCAGGUGGUUCUGAUGUUACUGGCUGGCAGACCACAGUUGGAGAACCACUGUUCUGGGACAUACACCCUCUGCACGUGCUGUGGAUUUCACUUACGUCACUUUAACAGGAAUUUUGAUUUUUUAAAUUAUCCUCUUUUUUCCUGUAUCUCCUGCUUUUUAGUUCCUUAGCUACAUGUUACUUAGUUACUUUGCUACUCAGAACGAGGUCUGUGGACCAGCAAUAUCAGCAUCACCAGUGUCAGCUUCUUAGAAAUGCAGAAUCUCAGACUUACUAGGUCAGAAUCAGUACUUUAAUAAGACCUGUGAGUGAUUCUUGUGCAUUCGUGUUUGAGAAGCACUGCCUGUGGAUCAUUCUCAUCAGCAAGCGAGUAUGUUCUUGAUUUCCUCCUACAAGCCUUCCUGUCUUCCAACGUCCCAUGCUAAUAGAUGGCACCCCCAUUCAUGCAGCUGCUCAGGCUAAAGAGGAAUUUUCCUUGACUUGUUUCUCACAUAUCCCACAUUCAGUUCAUGGCCACACUUUACCACUUCCACAGCUUUGCUCCUAAUCCAGGAUGCCAUGAUCUCUCACUUGGACUAGUGCUGGUGCCAGCUUCUUACCUGGUCAGUAGGCUUCCACCUGUCUCCCUGCAGCUUGUUUUCUUCCAGUCAACCACAGUGAGCCUUUAAAAACAGGUCUUGUUAUAACCCCCAAAUCCUGCAAUGGUUCUGCAUCAUAUUUAAAAUCAAAACCCAAACUGGGGUGUCUGGGUGAUUCAGUUGGCUGAGCAUCCAACUCUUGGUUUCAGCUUAGGUUGUGAUCUCGCAGUUUGUGGGAUCAAGCCUCGCUGACAGCUUGGAGCUUGCUUGGGAUUCUCUUUCUCCUCCUCUGUCAGCCCUUCCCCUGCUUGUGCUCUCUCUCCCCAAAUAAAUAAACUUAAAAAAAUCAAAACCAAAGUCAUUGUGGUCUGUCAGGCUGUAUGUGAACUGCCUUGGCCACCUCUCUCCUCUCUUUCCCCAGCCCACUUUAUUCUAGUGACUCUUCUCCCCUUCUUUUCUUUUGCAGACCUGGUUCACCCCUGUUUGUUUGUACUAUGUGGUUUUUUUUUUUGUUUUUUGUUUUUUCUCUUUGCACUUUGUUUUAGAAUGCUCUUCACCCAAAUGGCAUGCUAUCUCACUUAGGUCUUCCUUGAGUCACUCAUCUAAUAUAAGCAGCCCUCAUUACUGUUUAUUCCCUUAUCUUGCUUUAUUUCUCCUUCCUGAACUUGUUGUUACCUAACAUCUUUCUUUCACGGUAGAAUACGAUAUGUUUUAAACCUGUCUUCUUCAUUUUAGUCUUGGUGCUACCAUUCUCCUAGUUGCUCAAGCCAAUGCCUGGAAUGUAGCCUUGAUUUUUUUUCCCCUCUUCCUUUCCCACUUCCUUCACUCAAUCCUAUGUCUAAAGUAUAUCUGGAACUUUUCAUUUCUUAUACUCUGCAUUGCCACUGUCCUCAUCUUUGCUCUCAUCCUCUCUUGAGUCAGCUCCCAUCGAUCUACCCAUUCCACAUAGGAGCCAGAGAGAAAGUCUUUUAAAAAAUGUCAUCAAAUUAUGUUACUCCUUGCUUAAAAUCCUGCAAUGUGUUCCCAUUGUACUUUAUUCUUUGCCUUACAAGGCCCUUUCACCAAUUCAGUAACACUCCAUGCCAUUUAUCCCUUGUUCAAGAAAUUCCUGAUACAAAUCACUUUUUCUCUUUGACUCAUUUGUGCUUUCUGUCCCUUUGUAUGGAAUUCCCCCCUUCCUAUUUUUUUGAAUAAUUCAUUCCUUCUCAUUCUUAAGGACUCAGCUGAAGUGUGACCUACCUAGAAAGACCUACCACUGCAUUAAAACAGUUUUUUUCAAUCUCCUUUAUUUUCUAUCUCAUGACUCUAUUUGCUUUCUUAAUAUUUCACAUUUGCUUUAAGAAAAGGAAAUGGUAAGUCACAGACUAGGAGAAAAUAUUUGAAGUACAUAUAUUUGACAAUGGGCUUAUAUCUAGAAUAAAUAACUUAUAAGUUCAUAAUACAAAGAAAACCCAAUCAGGCAAAGGAUGGAAACAAAUGCCUCACAAAGGAAGAUAUGUAAAUGGCCAACAGGUACAUGCAAAUGUGCUCACAUCAUUAACUAUUUGAGGAGUUAAAACUACAAUAAUACACUAUUUCACAUUGACCAAGAUGGCAAAUUGACCCAUGUGUAGCCACUGGAGCUCUCUGACUCUACUGGUGGGAAUGCAAAAUAGUACAUACAGUUUGGGAAACAGGUGGGAGAUACGUGUUAGGUUAAACAUGCAGGUAGGACCUACACAACCUGGGGGAAGCAGUUAACACUCAUACACAUUUUCCAAAACUCAGUGAAUCAUACAUUUAAAAUCUGUGCAUUUAUUGAAUCUAAACUUUACUGCUAUAAAAGAAAAAAAAAAAAAAAGUUCCCAGGGAUCCUCCUCCGUCCCUCUGGGCGAGCGAGCACUUGCAGGUUGGCUAACGUCAGGAAAAUGCGGUCAGGGAGGCGGGGACCUGGGGCAGCCCAGCUUCCGCGAGCCGCCAAGCCCUGGCCCGUUCGCCGCUAGUUGUGGUUUCGGUUUCCAUUUCCCUUCUGCAGUUUAGGUUCCCCGGCGGCUCCGCCUCUCCGCUGGGCCAGUACACCCUCUCAGAAAAUCCCUCCUGGCCGGCCGCUGGGCUUUAAAGGGAGUGGGGCACCGGUGAGGUAGGACCUCGCGGGGAGCUGAGCCACCGGGAUGACGGCGGAGGAGAGGAGGAAUCUGCGCGCCUUCCAGGACUAUGUCAUCAAGAUUCUGGACCCUACCUAUAUCCUGAGCUACAUGUCGCCCUGGUUUAAGGACGAUGAGGUGCAGUAUAUUCGGGCUGAGAAAAACAAUAAGGGCACGAUGGAGGCUGCCUCACUUUUUCUUAAGUUCCUAUUGGAGCUCCAGGAAGAAGGCUGGUUCCGUGGCUUUUUGGAUGCCCUUGCUCAUGCAGGUUAUUCUGGACUUUAUGAAGCCAUUGAAAGUUGGGAUUUCCAAACCAUUGAAAGGUUGGAGGAGUAUAGGUCACUGUUAAAGCGUUUACAACCAGAAUUUAAAACUACAGUUAAUCCAAAAGAUAUCCUUCCUGAAGUAUCUAAAUGUUUAAUUAGUCAGGAAUGUGAAGAAAUUAUGCAGGUUUGUUCCAACAAGGGGCUGAUGGCAGGUGCAGAGAAAAUGGUUGAAUGCUUUCUCAGAUCGGACAAGGAAAACUGGCCCAAAACUUUGAAACUUGCUUUGGACAAAGAAGAGAGCAAGUUCAGUGAACUGUGGACUGUGGACAAAGGUGCAAAGAAUAUUGACGUGAAAGUUCUUGAGGAUGAUGAAAUGGAAACUUCUGACAUACAGAUUUUCUACAAGGAAGAAUCUGAAUGCCAGAAUCUUAGUCAGAAUUCAUGUCCAUCUUCAGAAGUCUCUCAUAUUUACACCCCAGUGAAGCCAAGAAAUUACCAACUAGAGCUUGCUUUGCCUGCUAAGGAAGGAAAAAACACAAUAAUAUGUGCUCCUACUGGUUGUGGAAAAACCUUUGUUUCACUUCUUAUAUGUGAGCAUCAUCUGAAAAAAUUUCCGCAAGGACAAAAGGGGAAGGUUGUCUUUUUUGCUGUUCAACUCCCAGUGUAUGAACAGCAGAAAUCUGUGUUCUCAAACUAUUUUGAAAGACUUGGGUACAAAGUUGCAGGUGUUUCUGGAGCAACGUCUGAGAAUGUCUCAGUGAAACAGAUUGUUGAGAACAAUGACAUCAUCAUUUUAACUCCACAGAUUCUUGUGAAUAGUCUUAAAAAUGGGACUAUUCCAUCACUCUCUGUCUUUACUUUGAUGAUAUUUGAUGAAUGUCACAAUACUGGUAAACACCAUCCUUAUAAUAUGAUCAUGUUUAAUUAUCUAGAUCAGAAACUUGGAGGAUCUUCAGACCCACUGCCUCAGGUCAUCGGGCUGACUGCCUCGGUUGGCAUUGGGGAUGCCAAAAGCACAGCAGAAGCCGUGGAAUAUAUCUGCAGACUGUGUGCUUCUCUUGACACAUCAGUGAUAGCAACAGUCAAAGACAACUUGGAGGAACUGGAAGAAAUUGUUUAUAAGCCCCAAAAGUUUUUCAGGAAAGUGGAAUCACGGACCACUGACAGAUUUAAAUGCAUCAUCUCUCAGCUGAUGAGGGAAACAGAGAGUCUGGCAAAGAGUAUCUUUGACGAAAUCGGUACCAUAACUCUCGAAGGUAUAUCUCAAAUUCAAAAUAGGGAAUUUGGAACGCAGAAAUAUGAACAAUGGAUCGUUACUGUUCAGAAAGCAUGCACGGUGUUUCAGUUGCCUGACAAAGAUGAAGAGAGCAGGAUUUGUAAAGCACUGUUUUUGUACACUUCCCAUUUGCGGAAAUAUAAUGAUGCCCUCAUUAUCAAUGAGCAUGCGCGAAUGAAAGAUGCUCUGGAUUACUUGAAAGACUUCUUCACCAACGUCCGAGCGGCAGGAUUUGAUGAGAUUGAGCAAGAUCUCACUCGGAGAUUCGAAGAAAAGCUGCAGAAACUGGAAAGCGUUUCUAUGGAUCCCAGCAAUGAGAACCCAAAACUCAAAGAUCUCUGCUUCAUCUUGCAAGAGGAGUACCACUUAAACCCAGAGAGUAGAACCAUCCUCUUUGUGAAAACCAGAGCACUUGUGGAUGCUUUGAAGAAAUGGAUUGAAGAAAAUUCUGAACUCAGCUUUCUAAAACCUGGCAUAUUGACUGGACGGGGCAAAACAAAUCAGAACACAGGGAUGACACUCCCAGCACAGAAGUGUGCAUUGGAUGCAUUCAGAACUAAUGGAGAUAAAAAGAUUCUGAUCGCGACUUCAGUUGCUGAUGAAGGCAUUGACAUUGCUGAGUGCAAUUUGGUCAUCCUGUAUGAGUAUGUGGGCAAUGUCAUCAAAAUGAUCCAAACUAGAGGCAGAGGAAGAGCGAGAGGUAGCAAGUGCUUCCUUCUGACUAGUAAUGCUGUUGUAAUUGAAAAAGAAAAAAUAAAUAUAUACAAAGAAAAAAUGAUGAAUGACUCCAUUUCAAUGCUUCAGACAUGGAAUGAAGUAGUAUUUAAAGAAAAGGUUCUCCAGAUACAGAUUCAAGAAAAAGUCAUCAGGGAUAGGCAAGGAAAAGUAGAACCUGUACCUGAUAAGGAAAAUAAAAAACUGCUCUGCAGAAAGUGCAAAGCCUUUGCAUGUUACACUGUUGAUAUCAGAGUGGUGGAGGAAUGCCAUUACACUGUGGUUGGAGAUGCUUUCAGGAAGUGCUUUGUGAGUAAACUACACCCCAAACCAAAGAGCUUUGGAUAUUUUGAGAAGAGAGCAAAGAUCUUCUGUGCCAGACCAAACUGCAGCCAUGACUGGGGAAUCCAUGUGAAGUAUAAGAUAUUUGAGAUUCCAGUUAUAAAAAUAGAAAGUUUUGUGGUGGAGGAUAUUGCAACUGGAGCUCAGAAACUAUAUGCAAAGUGGAAGGACUUUCAUUUUGAGAAGAUACCAUUUGAUGCUAAGGAAAUGUCCAAAUGACCUGGGUGCCUCAUUCUUUAGCUACAGGGGAUGGAUGACCGACCCUGACUGAAGAAAUUAGCCCCAGUGGGUACAAUCAUGGAUUGCUUGUACCAUUGUGAAGGUAUUUGCCCAAGGCUUGUAUUGAACUAAAUGUUUAUGGCUUUCUGUAGGCCAAUAAAGCUCUUAAGUACUUGGGAAAAAUUAAAAAGCCUUAACUUCUUUUCCUAUCCUUCCUCUUGCAACUGACCCCCAAUGAAUAUCCAGUAGCCACUGGGUACACAUUAGAAUGAAUGAAUGAAUGAAUGAAAGGAAGGAAGGAAAGAAAGAAAUGUUCAAAGUUUUUUCCAUACUUCCCUUUCUUUCCUUAACCUACUACUGUAAACUGACUCUUGCCCUUAAUCUACUGACAUUGUUCUUGUUAAUACCAGUGCCCAAUCCAUCGGGCACUUCUUAGGCCUUCUCUCUCUUUGAUCUCUUUGCUGCUUUUGGCCCUGUUGAGUACUCCUUUCCUGGAACCCCCUCUUGGCUCCUAUUUCUGUUAGCUCUGUCCCAGUCUAUGCUGUUGAUUCCUCUAUGCUGAUCUCUUAAAUGCUGAUAAUUCUAAGGGUUCGAUAAAUAUUCAUAUACAUAGAUAUAGUAGUUACUCAUAUUUUCUAUGUACCAGUGUGUGGCAUGUAAUCUUAAAAUUCUGUAGGACAACUUUUAGUAAUGGGAUUAUGUAGAGGAUACAGUACUUCUUGAGAAAUUGAUUUCUGUUUUUAUAGUUUAUUGUACAUCUUGCCCUAUUAAUUUGUUUCCUUAACCCGUGCUGUUGUUCCCUUUGAAUAGUCAUCUCAAGCCAUUUUGUAAUAAUAGUUGAUGGUCCACACUUUGGACUCUGUUCUCAGGUUCCUUGGAUGAAACUGAGGAGAUAAAUUUGGCUGUCCUAUCCACUUAAAAAAUCAGACUAUGUAUUCAAGUGGCAUUCUUGUGUCAUUAAACAAGGUUGGCUGAUGCCCUGAGAGUUGUUUGCGGUUUUCCAGACAUGGGCACAACUGCCUGAGUUUUGCUGUUUCCAUGUAGGCCACGGUAUUUUGUGUUCAAGGCAGGGUAGGCUCUGUAAUAACUUAAGUAUUCUCUAAAACAGAUUCAGAUUAGUUGUUUGUAAUUCACCAGGACCAUAAAUGGCUUAAACAAACCUUCAAACAUCACAAAAUGCUAAUAAUAUGUUCAACAUCUGUGAUUAUAUAACCCUUUUCAUGUAGCACCUGUUUAUAUCUGAAGGCUAUUUGGUGUCCAAGAGACCACCCAAAUCAACCCUGAAGUUCAAUGGGAUAACAUGCUUCAGCCACCUCAUUCUCCAUUUGAUCUGAGACAAACCAUCAGGUCAGCAUUUCCUCCAGCAUGUCCUGUGGAACACACACGCUGUGAGACGCUCUGAAGAAAAUAGCCUGUGAGCAGAUGGGCUCCUGUACGGUCUGCUGCCAGCCUGCCCCUCCAGUGAGUGAUUUACAGCCUACAUGGUCAUUGUGUCAUUGUGUCGGUUCUGUGCUAACAAGACCCACUUAACCCAGCGGUUCCCAAAUACACUGACCCUGGAAGCCUGUUGUUCAUGGGACACCGUUAACGUCCUGCAGAAGCACAACAGCAGGUAUCCAGCCCGGACGUGGACUAAACAACCAGAGCCAAGUUGGAAUGUUAAUUUCAGGAUCAUAGCCAGUAACUCUUUUAUUACCCUAUGUAAUAAAACUAUAUGGUUUCACGCAGCAAAUCUGUACUUAAUGCAUAGGCCUCAGUUCUUGGGAUACAAAUUAUUAAAACUAUUAAAACUAUCAGCUAUAAUUAUAUAAUCUUUGUUCAUGAUAAUUAGGCUGUCCAGGUGAACAAAAACUACUCGGGUGCUAAAUUCUGUUUGUGGUCAUGACACUUUACAGCUUCCUCAGAAGGCAGCCAUGGAACCUCAGUUUCUCUUUUCCAGAAGUGAUUCUCCGUUGCUCCUGCAUAACCCUGCCGGGUACCACACUGUCCUCACAUAACCUUGAACGGGAAACGGGGCCACAAAUACUGUUCUCCAUUUUGGCGACUUGGAAAACUCCCAAUUUCAGCCUACAAAAUACUGGCAGAUAAAUCUCUAAGUUCAUAAACUAGUAACUGCCAGCCCAGAGCUGCUAGCGACCACAUCCCCUGCACAUGGAGCAGCCCUGAAGAAGGCGGCCAGUGGAGACGGAAGGUAAGAAGUGAGGGAGAGGAUAAGGAGGGAACCUGGGUUUGAGCCACCAGAUCCAAUCAAGCCUAGGGCCGUGGCCACCUCUGUUCUUCAGGUUCUAUGAGCCAAUUAUUAUUACCAUUGACUAAUAUUUUUGCUUAGCCAGUUUGAGUUGUGCUUCUUAGCCAGUAAGAGCUGUGACUAAUGCACCCUUCCCCUAGCUUUCCCUCCACGUACUAAAGGCUGCCUCAGAGCCAAAGACACACGUGCUUACUUGCUGCAUUGGAUCAGUCUGUUACCUCAGGGUGCACACCAAAGAACACACGGUUUCCUAGCAGGCAGCAGGCGUGAUGGAUUUGGAAAGCUGUGAGAACAAAGGAGAUGAGACUCCUGUGGAGAGGCGGGAGGCCUGGGACCAGCAAGGGCAGCAUACGUGCAGUUGGCAGGGAGAUUGAUGCCUUCUUGAGAAACUAGGCCAGAGAAGUUUACUUGUUCCAUCCGGUUGUGGCCAAGAUUGGGACACAGGGCAAGACGUUUUAUUAAUGAACAGGCUAGAGGGUGUGUUUGGAGGCAGAGGAGUCUGGAAGUGAAGGGACCCCGUUCUGGAAGUCAUAGCCACAAGAAUCUGUCUCUGCAUAGCCACUGGAUUCGGGGAGCCACACAGCUCCCCAGGAGCUCAGUCAUGGAGAGCUGAGGCAGUGAGGUCUGUUUUCUCAGCCUUUCUUUGUGUUUUUAUGUUAGGACUGAUCCUUAUUUGAAGGUCCCAGGCUUUUUUUUUAUACAACAAGGUUAUGUCUGUAAUUUUUUCUUAGCACAAACUAGGUCCCAGGACCUCAGAGGCAGGGAUGCUCAAUAACCUGUCUUGUCCCUUAUCUUGGAAGAGGUAGAGACGGGACUUGAUCCCGGGUGUUCCGAUGGCCUGGCCACAUUCCCUGCAUGCUGGACUUGAGAUUUAAAAUUCAUUAGAAGGAGACUAACUUGUGAGCUAUAAGGUGCCCUGUUAUGGACUGAAUGUCUUUUGUCCCCCACCCCAAAAUUCCUAUGUUGAAGCCCUAACUCCCAGUGUGUCUCUUUGGAAAAGGGACCUCUGAGGAAGUGAUUAAGGUUAAAUGAGGUCCAGGGGUUGGGACCCUGAUCUGAUAAAAUCAGUAUCUUUAAAAGACAACAGAGAGCCAGCUCUUUCUCUGUCUCCUCACACAUGCAUUAAGACAGAAAGCUCUGACCAGGAAAUGAAGUGGCUGGAAACUUGAUCUUAACUUGUAGCCUCCAGGAAGGAGAAAAUACAUUGUUGAUGUUUGAGCCACCCAGUCUAUGAUAUUUUGUUACGGCAGCUGAGACAUGUGCCCCAAAAUGACGUCAAUGACAAUAAGGACGUAAACUAGAGGACACGAAAAUAAAAAAAUGAUGAUCUGCUCACCACACUUACAUUAUUGCUCCUACUAACUUCUUGUCUGCUCCCAACCAGGGCAGAGAAAUCCUGGUUCCCCAACUCUUCCAUUUCACCUGUAUAGCAUGGAUGUGGUUGUAAAAGCAGGAGAGGUUAAACGUCACCCAGGCUUCAGGAUGCUGGUAGCCUGAGACUCGCUCUGCUCUAAACAGGCCCAGACUGAAGCCUCACAUACCACAGAAUUCAA